CAUCCUCCAAGGCUAAAUACUCCUGACUGACCGAUAGUGAACCAGUACCGUGAGGGAAAGGCGAAAAGAACCCCGGCGAGGGGAGUGAAAAAGAACCUGAAACCGUGUACGUACAAGCAGUGGGAGCCCCACCACUAAGCCAGUGGUGAACUCCACAUACGCAUCCUUUGCUGAGGAUACGGUUAACGGAGCGAAAGCGACGUUCAACCUCAAAAGAAGCAGAGGGGGCUUAGUGGUGGGGUGACUGCGUACCUUUUGUAUAAUGGGUCAGCGACUUAUAUUCUGUAGCAAGGUUAACCG
rnacentral:rRNA from 4 species